UCCUGGUGGCUUAGAGGGUAAAGUGUCCGCCUACAAUGCGGGAGACCCAGGUUCAAUCCCCGAGUCAGGAA
rnacentral:tRNA from 1 species